rnacentral:tRNA from 1 species
GCGCCCUUAGCUCAGCGGAUUAGAGCAUCAGACUACGGAUCUGAGGGUCGGGGGUUCAAAUCCCUCAGGGCGCGCCA